GAAAGAAGCUGCAAGAAUUGCAACGUUCUGAUGGCAAAUACAAAACUCACGAUGUCAAAGAAGGUAUCGCAGAAACUAAGAGGAGGACAAAAGAGGACAAAGGUGAAGAGAAGAAUGAAAAAGAAGUCCAAGCUUCUAUUGAGAAACAGUCAGGACCACAACUGAAUACGUUAUUGCAGUGCCUGGAAAACGUAGCAAGCUUUGAGACAACUUUUGUGUUGUCUAAAAAGGUCAAUUCAAUGUUGACUAAAUGAGCAAAACCAUCACAAAUCUGAGGCAGCAUCUGCCCUCAGAAGACACAUUUACGAAUCCUGAACUGAAAUGAAUGUUAAUAAUAUCAUCAAUAAGAAGAAAGCUUCUCCAGGAAGGGUAACUGUAUUUGCAGAAACAGGUAAAGGAUUUUUGUGUUGAAUUCAGAUUUAUUCUUUUUGUGCCAUCUUAUGCUCUCUCCUGCUUCUGAUUAAGUGUUUAAUUACUAAAACAAUCAUACUGACUCCUAGCAUAUGGAUACAGUUUUACACAGAGGGUUUACUUCUCUACUGAGAGCAACAUGUGGUAGGUAUUUAUUCCUAAUGUCAGGUACGACCUUUCUUUUCAUGAUGGCUCUUAAGCAUGGUGCUCAGAACAGAAACAAACUGAGUUUAUUUAAUAAUUGAUGAGUUAUUCCACCUAAUCAGCAAUAAUAAGUUAAUAUUAAUCAGUGAAUGAAAUAGAAUGGCCUUCCAUUUUUCAGUGCUUCAAAAUUUCCCAAUUCUAAUUAAUAAACUGUUUUGGAAUAAUCUUUUUAUUUCAGAUGUAUUCCCUUUUAUUUCAGAUAAUUGUCAGUUUUAAUCAUGUAAUAACUUAAAA